GAUGAACGCUGGCGGCGUGCCUAAUACAUGCAAGUCGAGCGAACGGACGAGAAGCUUGCUUCUCUGAUGUUAGCGGCGGACGGGUGAGUAACACGUGGAUAACCUACCUAUAAGACUGGGAUAACUUCGGGAAACCGGAGCUAAUACCGGAUGAUAUUUUGAACCGCAUGGUUCAAAAGUGAAAGACGGUCUUGCUGUCACUUAUAGAUGGAUCCACGCUGCAUUAGCUAGUUGGUAAGGUAACGGCUUACCAAGGCAACGAUGCAUAGCCGACCUGAGAGGGUGAUCGGCCACACUGGAACUGGGACACGGUCCAGACUCCUACGGGAGGCAGCAGUAGGGAAUCUUCCGCAAUGGGCGAAAGCCUGACGGAGCAACGCCGCGUGAGUGAUGAAGGUCUUCGGAUCGUAAAACUCUGUUAUUAGGGAAGAACAUAUGUGUAAGUAACUGUGCACAUCUUGACGGUACCUAAUCAGAAAGCCACGGCUAACUACGUG
rnacentral:rRNA from 1 species